rnacentral:rRNA from 2 species
GGGGAAUAUUGCACAAUGGGCGAAAGCCUGAUGCAGCAACGCCGCGUGAGCGAUGAAGGCCUUUGGGUCGUAAAGCUCUGUCCUUGGGGAAGAAAAAAAUGACGGUACCCUUGGAGGAAGCCCCGGCUAACUACGUGCCAGCAGCCGCGGUAAUACGUAGGGGGCAAGCGUUAUCCGGAAUUAUUGGGCGUAAAGAGUGCGUAGGUGGUUUUGUAAGCGCGGGGUGAAAGGCUAUGGCUCAACCAUAGUAAGCCUUGCGAACUGUAAGACUUGAGUGCAGGAGAGGAAAGUGGAAUUCCCAGUGUAGCGGUGAAAUGCGUAGAUAUUGGGAGGAACACCAGUGGCGAAGGCGACUUUCUGGACUACAACUGACGCUGAGGCACGAAAGCGUGGGGAGCAAACA